rnacentral:ncRNA from 1 species
UGACCUCAGAUCAGGCAAGGCUACCCGCUGAAUUUAAGCAUAUUAAUAAGCGGAGGAAAAGAAACUAACAAGGAUUCCCCUAGUAAUGGCGAAUGAAGCAGGAACAGCUCAAAUUUAAAAUCUCCGUUGCUUGCAACGGCGAAUUGUAGUUUCGAGAAGCACUUUCUCGGCGGAUCCGAGGUCGUCCAAGUUGCUUGGAACAGCACGUCGUAGAGGGUGAAAACCCCGUCUGCGGCGACCUCGGUCGUUCACGAUGUGCUUUCGACGAUUCGGGUUGUUUGGGAAUGCAGCCCAAAAUGGGUGGUAAACUCCAUCUAAAGCUAAAUAUUGGCACGAGACCGAUAGCGAACAAGUACCGUGAGGGAAAGAUGAAAAGCACUUUGAAAAGAGAGUUAAAAAGUACGUGAAACCGUUAAAAGGGAAACGAAUGGGGUUAGCAAUGCGUCGUGCGAGAUUCAGCCGGUGGGUGGGCCAGGCGGGCGGUUGGCGGAUCUGAAUGGACCGCUGCCGUUCGGGUUGGUUUCCCGACCGUCGCACUUCUCGCAGGCGCGCGCCAACGUCGGUUAGGGCUGGGU